rnacentral:rRNA from 1 species
GUGGGGAAUAUUGGGCAAUGGAUGCAAGUCUGACCCAGCCAUCCCGCGUGCCGGAAGAAGGCCCUCAGGGUUGUAAACGGCUUUUGACGGUGAAGAAUCGACAGGAUGCGUCCUGUUUUGACGGUAGCCGUUGAAUAAGCACCGGCUAACUCCGUGCCAGCAGCCGCGGUAAUACGGAGGGUGCGAGCGUUGUCCGGAUUUAUUGGGUUUAAAGGGUGCGUAGGCUGGAAGGUCAGUCAGCGGUGAAAAGCUGUCGCUUAACGAUAGUCUUGCCGCAGAUACUUCCUUUCUUGGAUGAGGAGGAGGCCACUGGAACGGAUGGUGUAGCGGUGAAAUGCAUAGACAUCAUCCAGAACACCGAUUGCGAAGGCAGGUGGCUAUACCUUAAUCGACGCUGAUGCACGAAAGCAUGGGGAGCAAACAGGAUUAGAAACCCCUGUAGUCC